GGAGUUCCUUGAGGCAUAAAAAACCUGGUGCAGCUGGAGAUCAGGUGCGGAAAAAUGGGAAUGGGGGGCUGUGAGAAGUCGGGGUAACUGGAAUAGGGAUACCGAAUUGUGGGGGAGGCACAACAAGGUGAGGACUUACUAGAAGCAAAGGAGUUGCAUGAUCUUAGGAAAGGCAGAGGAAUUUGGGGAUACCUGCUUGCUAAGGCUAUGGGAAAGCCAAGCCAGGAGGGACCUUGGCUUCCUUCCUCUCCAGGCAGAAAGAGAUUUGUCGGGGAGGUGCUGGGGAGCUGGCUCCGGGAGUGGGAAGCAGAGGGAUGUUUGCUGGAGAGUUGUAGGGAGUUAGACACAGGGUGCUGUCAGGUAGAGGAGAGAUUGGGCCAGGGAAAAAGGAUGUUUUCUUACGGGUCACCACCCUUGAGGCCAGGAGUGGGGUGAAGGCUGCAGAGCAGAGCCUGCUGGGAUUUACCCGGCCCAAGGCAGCUCUCCUGUGCCCUAACUCACUGCCACUGCCCUGGAGCUCUGGGACAGUCAGGAAUGCCUACCCUCCGUGCUCUGGGACUGGCUUUGUACAUGCUAGGGACUAGUCUCCGAACCUGCCCCUGGGGCUGGAGAAGGAUGAACCUGGCAGACCCUACCCUCCCUUUACCCCAGCCCCAUCCCAGUUGGAGGGAGCUAGGGGAGGAACUGGGGUUGCUGCUGCACUUGGGUUGUGGUGUCUGGGGAGGAGAGCUGUCUGGCAGCAGCAUGAGAGGUGGAGCCAGCUGCAGGCUCAGGACCUGCCCAGACCUGGAAGAAGCUGCCUGGCCCCCUACCAGCAGACCCGGUCUAGGGGAGAGGCUCCAUCUGUGGUCACCGGCCAAGCCUUAACUGUCCUGAAGAGAGAACUGAAUCUGCUACUGGCCAGAAGGACUGACCGGGCCUGCUGGGCUGUUUGCAUCGCGGGCCCCUCCGCCUGGGCCCUGCACGGGAGGGGCCGGCGGGCAGGCGGCUGGGCUAUGGUUUGGUGCCUCAGUCUGGCCGUUCUCAGCCUGCUCAUCGGCCAGGGGGCUGACGGUCGAGGGAAGCCUGAGGUGGUCUCCGUGGUGGGCCGGGCUGGGGAGAGUGCGGUGCUGGGCUGCGAACUGCCUCCUGCUGGCCGGCCCCCCCUUCACGUCAUCGAGUGGCUGCGCUUUGGGUUUCUGCUCCCCAUCUUCAUCCAGUUCGGCCUCUACUCUCCCCGAAUCGACCCUGAUUACGUGGGGCGAGUCCGGCUGCAGAAGGGGCCUCCCUCCAGAUUGAGGGGCUCCGGGCAGAAGACCAGGGCUGGUAUGAGUGCCGGGUGCUCUUCCUGGACCAGCAGCACCCUGAGGACGAGAACAUCAACGGCUCUUGGGUGCACCUCACAGUCAACUCGCCCCCGAGGUUCCUGGAGACACCCCCCCAGGUGCUGGAGGUGCGGGAGCUAGAGCCACUGACGCUGCGCUGUGUAGCCCGUGGCAGCCCGCAGCCUCAGGUGACUUGGAAGCUCCGAGGACAGGACCUGGGCCAGGUCCAAGGUCAGGUGCAGGUGCAGAACGGGACGCUGUGGAUCCGACAGGUGGAGCGAGGCAGCUCCGGUGUCUACACCUGCCAGGCCUCCAGCACUGAGGGCAGCGCCACCCAUGCCACCCAGCUGCUGGUGCUAGGGCCCCCGGUCAUCGUGGUGCCCCCCAGGAACAGCACGGUCAAUGCCUCCCAGGAUGCUUCCUUGGCCUGCCGGGCUGAGGCCUACCCCGCCAAUCUUACCUACACCUGGUUCCAAGACAGCAUCAAUGUCUUCCACAUUAGCCGCCUGCAGGCCGAGUGCGGAUCCUAGUGGAUGGCAGCCUGCGGCUACAGGCAGCACAGCCCGAUGAUGCUGGCCGCUACACCUGUGUGCCCAGCAAUGGCCUCCUGCACCCACCCUCGGCGUCCGCCUACCUCACUGUGCUCUACCCAGCCCAGGUAACAGCAAUGCCUCCCGAGACACCCCUGCCCAUAGGCAUGCGGGGAGUGAUCCAGUGCCCAGCUCGUGCCAACCCCCCGCUACUCUUUGUCAGCUGGACUAAGGAUGGGCAGGCCCUGCGACUAGACAAGGUACAGAUUUGGGAGCAGGCGGAGGAAGGGCUUCACUUGGUGUCAUUCUAGUCAGUUUAAUUCAACUGGGUGAC